AUAAUCCUGGGAUCAACCAGGAUUAGACCAUAACGGCCAGGAAGUGAAUCCUAGCGCCUGUCAUUAGCGCCGGCGUUGUACAUGCCCUUAGGGUAAGGACGUGCAUCCCCUUCCAACAGAUCAAUUUCGCUCGUCGCUCUUCAAGCGCUGAUUUGUUCUUCCCUUUCUCUUCUUAUUUUCUUGUUGUUCAUACAACCGCUGCUGCCGGUUUCCUGCUUCUGCCUCUUCCGUAUGCCUGUCCGCACCGUUUGUUCCAAGAAGCGAAGGCGGAGGUGGAGAUGCGGGAGAGGCCGAGUCCGAGGUGGCAGAGGACGGGCGAUGAAAAUGGCACAGAGUGGUCGCGGGCUCAUUCCGGCGGCCGGCGCACGCAGCCGUGAGGGGUGGGGUGGAUGAGCAAGGGGCGCCGCCGCCGCUGCCUCGUGCGUGCGGGCGAGAAGAUUUGUUGAUGGUGGAAUGGACGGUACUUUAUUAUGUGACGUUCUUGGAUAAAAGAUUUGGUUCAGCUUAGUAUUACUUCUGUUACCAACUUCUUUUCAUGAAAGCCAUUCAUUUUGGCAAGGCCCCAUCACACCUGGCAAUUAUAUUGGUUGCGUGGGAGAAAUUGAAGUUACAGGCCAUAAUUCCCAUGGCUAAGCUGCCCUACAACAGUCUAGAGCUCGGUCGGAUGGAGCAGUUGGGGAGGAGUGGCGGAUGCGCGGGGCAUCGCCGGCCAGAGAGGACGGGAGGAGCAUAUGCCAGCGAGGGAGGCGGCUCGGCUUGGACCGGCCAUGGCGCCGGCGCUGCUAACUCCCACGGGCCUCUCAUUCCCCAUCUCUUCUGGAAGUGAUGAAUCAAGCAAGGAGGAAGGGCGUAGUGUUGGAUAUUUGACCAGGCGACAUAUAUGGAUGCCUCUGUUCUGAAUAAACAAUAUUUACUUGAACCUAUAUGGUCUGAAUAAAGUUUACACUGCCAAUAUUUUGCCUUGACCUGCCAAGGUAUGAACUAAAACAUCAAUAUCACUCGAACCUAAUCAUGUCAGGGUCUAAAUUAUUGCCUAUCUGCCAAUAUAAUAGCAUGCUAGAUGUUCUUAGAUUCAAUCCAAAAAAGCUUUGUUUGUGUUCCUGUCAAUUUUAGACGUGCAGGUAGCUUGAUAACUUGCUUUUCUUUUUGUUCAGUACAUAUAUACAGUUACACCAUAACCUCACCAAUUUGCUCUGAUUAAAUUAGCAAACCUGAAGCAUGUAAGGAUUCAUGUGAGUGAAAGUUCACUUUCUUUCAGGAGAAAAGAACUUUUAGUUAAUACCAGUCGAAUUUGGUAAGGCCAAUAAUUAUAUCCUUUCAUAAUCAUCAGGUUUGCUACACUUAGUCAUAAUAAAGUAUUCUAUUUUUUCUUUUGCACAGUGGCAUUGCAAUGGAUAUUGUUCUUUUACUAGCAGUGUGCUGAGUGUGCAUGCAAAGUACAGGUCAUUUUGAGUGGCAAGGGUUGAGAAUUACCAUAAUGUUAAUAUGUUGAAGAACCUUAUAAAAUAUAUAAUUAUAUAUUUGACACUUUUUAUACUGAUUCAAGUGAAAAAUGUCAUAAUUCUAACAGAUAUUUGCAUCUGCGCCAAGUGCGGCAUGCAGUCAUCCUCAUCCUGUCCUGAACGUACCAUGUACUCUGUAUUGAGAAAAGACUAGGGAGUUAAGAAUACCAUGUGGCACCGGAGCAGCCUAAGGGCCAUUAGUUGGGAAUAAGAUGCACUGGAUAUCUGAGUUUAAGUGGUAGCUUUGCACUUUGCAGUAUGGUGAUGUCACUCUUGGUGUGAUGGUCACUCAUCGAGCGUGUCAACUACUCAUAAAUAGCUCUAUCCAGCAAAUUUUCUUUAGAUUUUGCUCUAUUCUAUUGAUCAGAUUUGCCAAGUCAUUUUUCCUUCGAGGUAUUUAGCAUUGCCAAAUUUAUAUAUUUACCUAAAUUUAAUCGUGACCCGAUUUGCUCUGGUCAAUACAUGCAUGAUGCCUUUUCUUUUCUAUAAAGUAGAUGCAGGGUUAUUUUACCUUUUAGACUCUGAGUUAGAUUAGCCGCACCUGUGUAUAUGUUUGAUAGAUGAGCUGUGUCAGGUUGUAGGUACUGCUAAGCACAAAGCUAUAGUUGGAUAUAAUAUUGGAUUUACAAUUAUUUUAUGCAAAAGAUUUCUGGUUAGUUGUAAAAUUCAUAAUAUUCCAGUAUAUUUCAAAUUUUGUUUCAUAGAGAAGCUCCAUCAUUGGAACCAGUAUAUGUCUGCUGAUAAAACCCUUUUGUAUGAUCAUGGUUUUUAGGAAUUGAUAUUCCAAUCAAUCUGCUGAUGCGGUAUUUGUGGGAGAUGAAGAGCAGCGACGGGUUUAAUCUAGGGGCCGUCUUUCUCGAGCUACAUUCAUGCUUCACAGCAGUUCACCUUCCCACAAUUUCUCAGGUUGCACAUCUGCUGGCCGAUGUGAUUAUGGAUGCCUUGUAUCUUGCAGUUCUUUCUAACCGAGUAUUAUUGCAGAUUCCAAAAUAGGACUAACUUCUGCUUAUUUUCUAAUCUAUUCAUUGUACCUCAAGGUGAACCAAUCUAUCCCACGAGAGCAUAUUUUUCUUAAUUCUACAAUAGAGGAUGUCGUGGUUUUCGAUUUUUGCUUUAAUGUGGGCUGGUUAGGAACUACAGUAAAUGUUUUUCCUGAAAGCUAAUGUUGUUGCACAAUUUCCUUUUUACCGUUUCAUUUUUAUUGUGAGAAAAAUGAUGCUUUUCAUAAAUUGUGCUAAUGUGAA